GAUGUAACUCAGUGGUACAGUGCUUGCCUAGCAUGCACACGGCCCUGGGUUCAAUCCCCAGCGCCA
rnacentral:tRNA from 1 species